rnacentral:rRNA from 1 species
CAAUAGCGUAUAUUAACGUUGUUGCAGUUAAAAAGCUCGUAGUUGGAUUUCUGGAGGGAGCGUCGGCCCGUAUUUACGAGUGCGUGACGUCUCUGUCCAUCCUUGCGGGAAGGCACGGCAUUGAUUUGUUGUGUCGGAUCGCAUCAUAUACUGUGAAAAAAUUAGAGUGUUCAAAGCAGGCUUUCGCUUGAAUACAUUAGCAUGGAAUAAUAAGAUAGGACUUUGGUGCUAUUUUGUUGGUUGAGCCUAAAGUAAUGAUUAAUAGGGAUAGUUGGGGGCACCUGUAUUGCGUUGUCAGAGGUGAAAUUCUUGGAUUUACGCAAGACAAACAGCUGCGAAAGCGUCUGCCAAGGAUGUUUUCAUUAA